AGAUGGCGGAGCGAUUUGCAUGGUUAUUGUUUCUACUCGAUGCAUUCGCAGAUAAUUCGGAAAUAGAUCAGAUUGGGAUCAAUAACUUUAUUGCAUACGAUUAUUUACAUGUAUUACCAGGUGUGUUUUGCCCAUAAUGGUUGAAGAUAUGCCAAACAAAUUGUGCCACUCUAUACAGACAGAUAACAGGUCUCAAUUUCGACUUCAAAGGUCAACAUAUCAGUGAUAUCAGAUGACCGAGGCUGCGAUGGCCUAUUGUGGGCUAGAUCAUAUGGCUUUUAUCUCUUAGUACAUGAAAUAAAAUUCUCAACAAUGGCAUGUAGCACCAACAUGUUUAGCGAAACAAACAAUUGGAUGGAAGCGACCAUAGCACUUACUAUUACAAAGGAAGGACUUUAUAGAAACGGAGAUGCGGAAGGUCCAUGCAGCAGUCUGCAGAAGUUGUGGAAAGUGUGCUAUAGCAAACCUUACGCCAUGUCCAACUCAAAACCUUUUUAAAAAGAAAAAUAAGAAAUCUUUGCACAUUACACAAAUCCAAUCAACGUCAUCAAUGCCAAAUAUGUGACUGAGUCAAGCAAAAUAUUAUAGCAAGCCACCGAUAUAAAGUCCCUUCAUGGAAAAAACACUUCAGCGGAAUUAUGGAUUACCGACUGAUGGGAAAUUGCAAAAUGUUUUCUGCCACCAGACGGAUAUAGCGGCAUUUCCUCCGUUCAGAAAUCCGACUUUAAUGGCGUGAUAAGUAUCAUGCUGAAAUUCAUUCAUUACGAUAACCACAUAGAAAGUAAGACGAAUGAUAGCAUGUAUGUAAUAUAUGAGAGAACACAACAGUUUAACAAGUUACUAGAAGAUACGUCACACACAGCCGAAUAUUAGAGCAGACAGAACAUACUUUCUCGCGCGUUGAAAAGACCACAAGUGAUGGCGACAAGAUAGAAGAUCACACACGAAUUGGCAUUGGACACAUUCAACAAGCCGGGAAUGAACAGGCAAAACAAGCUUACGACCUAGCCGUAGAAGGUUUGUUUCUGUUGACUGAAUAGUUUGCCACCUAAGAUAAUGUUUGCAAUUACAAAAUAACAUAUUGCAGGGAUUUUUAAUAACAAAAAUUAAGCAUGGAAUUGUACAGCGUUUUUUAAAGGCUGAAGGUAUACUCCGAAACCUAUAUUAUUUGACGCACACUAAUGUUCGCGGAUUUUUGUCAGUCCUCUCAACCACGAAAUCGUAUGUUUAUGUAACUGUUAAGCCUUAAGUUCUUUAUACCUGAUUAUCAAAAAAUCCCCAUAAUUGUAUGUCAAAAAUGUAUCCAAUAUGAAGAGUUGUGUAUCCAAUAUUUAUGUCAGCCAGUGCAAACGUCACAUGAACUCUACGAUAUUGUUUCUCCAAAUGUGUCCUAAAAGCAUACUCUAUCACAAUAUUGUGCAUAUUCUUUAUAGUUCAUUAUUUUCACAAGCAGCUGGUUUACGAAAGCGUUUUGCUACGAGCCUAUCAAAUGCCUGCCGCACUCUCAUAGUGAAGACAUGAUACCUAUAACCAUGUCUCAAAUAUAUUAACCGGUUUUACAAACAUUUCCCGAGGUCACAUUUCAGAAUCCGUUUCAUAGAAUCAUGUACCCUCGUUCCUCGUAUCAUUUGGCAUAUUGUAAU